rnacentral:misc_RNA from 1 species
GUUCUGGGAAGCGAAAACAAUCUGGGGGAUCCGACUCCCGCAGAUCUGGUAGAGGCAGAUUCUCUGGCCAAAGACCACCCCGUUCUGGUCGGCAGACUCAAAAGGCAUCUCGGCGAGCGUUAUCAGUCUAGCAGUGUGAAACUUGUUGUAGAACACACAGUGGGGUGUGUUUUAAGGCCACCGGUGCAUGUUUUAACUGUGGAGGGAGCGGACAUUUCGCUAAGGAUUGCACUAGUCCGCGCCAGUCUGGGUCCUUCACUACAUCUGAAGGAUCAGCCCAAAUCUCUGCACCUAGAGGGUCACAGUCAGCUGCUAGAGGUAGAGGCAGAGGUAGGGGG